rnacentral:piRNA from 1 species
UUCAAUUUUAAGAAGGUGUCUAGGGA